rnacentral:tRNA from 2 species
GCACUGGUGGUCCAGCGGCAAGACACCGCACUCGUAAUGCGGCAACGAGGGUUCGAUUCCCUCCCGGUGCU